UACGUAGGAGGCGAGCGUUAUCCGGAUUUACUGGGCGUAAAGCGAGCGCGGGCGGCUUUUUAAGUCGGAUGUGAAAUCUCCUGGCUCAACUGGGAGAAGACAUCCGAAACUGGGGAGCUGGAGUGCAGCAGAGGAAAGCGGAAUUCCCGGUGUAGUGGUGAAAUACGUAGAUAUCGGGAGGAACACCAGUGGCGAAAGCGGCUUUCUGGGCUGUUACUGACGCUGAGGCUCGAAAGCGUGGGGAG
rnacentral:rRNA from 1 species